GACGAACGCUGGCGGCGUGCUUAACACAUGCAAGUCGAACGGAAAGGCCCCCUUGUGGGGUACUCGAGUGGCGAACGGGUGAGUAACACGUGAGUAACCUACCCUUUACUUUUUGAUAACUUCAUGAAACUGGGGCUAAUACCGGAUAGGAGCUCCUGCUGCAUGGUGGGGGUUGGAAAGUUUCGGCGGUUGGGGAUGGACUCGCGGCUUAUCAGCUUGUUGGUGGGGUAGUGGCUCACCAAGGCUUUGACGGGUAGCCGGCCUGAGAGGGUGACCGGCCACAUUGGGACUGAGAUACGGCCCAGACUCCUACGGGAGGCAGCAGUGGGGAAUAUUGCACAAUGGGCGGAAGCCUGAUGCGGCAACGCCGCGUGCGGGAUGACGGCCUUCGGGUUGUAAACCGCUUUCGCCUGUGACGAAGCGUGAGUGACGGUAAUGGGUAAAGAAGCACCGGCUAACUACGUG
rnacentral:rRNA from 1 species